rnacentral:rRNA from 1 species
AUAUCAAUAAGCGGAGGAAAAGAAACUAACAAGGAUUCCCCUAGUAACUGCGAGUGAAGCGGGAAAAGCUCAAAUUUAAAAUCUGGCGGUCUUUGGCCGUCCGAGUUGUAGUCUGGAGAAGUGCUUUCCGCGCUGGACCGUGUACAAGUCUCUUGGAACAGAGCGUCAUAGAGGGUGAGAAUCCCGUCUUUGACAUGGACUACCAGUGCUUUGUGAUGCGCUCUCAAAGAGUCGAGUUGUUUGGGAAUGCAGCUCAAAAUGGGUGGUGAAUUCCAUCUAAAGCUAAAUAUUGGCGAGAGACCGAUAGCGAACAAGUACCGUGAGGGAAAGAUGAAAAGCACUUUGGAAAGAGAGUUAAACAGUACGUGAAAUUGCUGAAAGGGAAACGCUUGAAGUCAGUCGCGUUGUCCGGAACUCAGCCUUGCUUCGGCUUGGUGCAUUUUCCGGGCGACGGGCCAGCAUCGAUUUUGACCGUCGGAAAAGGGCUGAGGGAAUGUGGCACCUUCGGGUGUGUUAUAGCCUUCAGUCGCAUACGGCGGUUGGGAUCGAGGAACGCAGCACGCCUUAUGGCUGGGGUUCGCCCACAUUCGUGCUUAGGAUGCUGGCAUAAUGGCUUUAAACGACCCGUCUUGAAACACGGACCAAGGAGUCUAACAUGCCUGCGAGUGUUUGGGUGGAAAACCCGAGCGCGUAAUGAAAGUGAAAGUUGAGACCUCUGUCGUGGAGGGCAUCGACGCCCGGACCUGACGUUCUCUGACGGAUCCGCGGUAGAGCAUGUAUGUUGGGACCCGAAAGAUGGUGAACUAUGCCUGAAUAGGGUGAAGCCAGAGGAAACUCUGGUGGAGGCUCGUAGCGAUUCUGACGUGCAAAUCGAUCGUCAAAUUUGGGUAUAGGGGCGAAAGACUAAUCGAACCAUCUAGUAGCUGGUUCCUGC